rnacentral:rRNA from 1 species
UACGUAGGGUGCAAGCGUUGUCCGGAAUUAUUGGGCGUAAAGGGCUCGUAGGCGGUCCAUCACGUCGGGAGUGAAAAGCUGGGGCUUAACCCCAGUCCUGCUUCCGAUACGGGUGGACUAGAGGUAGGCAGGGGAGAACGGAAUUCCUGGUGUAGCGGUGAAAUGCGCAGAUAUCGGGAGGAACACCAAUGGCGAAGGCAGCUCGCUGGGACGGUACUGACGCUGAGACGCGAAAGCGUGGGGAGCAAACAGG